AAUCAACGCUGGCGGCGUGCCUAACACAUGCAAGUCGAACGCGAAAGGGGCUUCGGCCCUGAGUAGAGUGGCGAACGGGUGAGUAACACGUGGGUGAUCUACCUUCGAGUGGGGGAUAACGUUCCGAAAGGAGCGCUAAUACCGCAUGACGUUCUGGGUUUGAAGACCUGGAAACCAAAGCCGGGGACCGCAAGGCCUGGCGCUAGAAGAGGAGCCCCGCGCCUGAUUAGCUUAGUUGGUGAGGAAUGGCUCACCAAGGCAACGAUCAGUAGCCGGCCUGAGAGGGGCGGACGGCCACACUGGGACUGAGACACGG
rnacentral:rRNA from 1 species